AUACAAGAUAUGCUGAGGUUGAUUAGGGAAGAGCUAAAGAUAGGUCUAGAGGAGGUCAAAGGGCAGGGAAGGGGGAUCAGGGAAGAAAUGGAAAAGAUUAAAGGCGAAAUGACUAGAAGGGAAGAGCAUCGAGUAGAGAAAGAGU